rnacentral:tRNA from 1 species
GCCCCCUUAGCUCAACGGCAGAGCAGCCGGCUUUUAACCGGUUGAUGCGGGUUCGAUCCCUGCAGGGGGCACCG